UCCCCAUGGAAGAUGGCGAGUUCAUUAAU
rnacentral:piRNA from 1 species